rnacentral:rRNA from 1 species
AGAGUUUGAUCCUGGCUCAGGACGAACGCKGGCGGCGUGCUUAACACAUGCAAGUCGAACGGAAAGGCCCUGCUUUUGUGGGGUGCUYGAGUGGCGAACGGGUGAGUAACACGUGAGUAACCUGCCCUUGACUUUGGGAUAACUUCAGGAAACUGGGGCUAAUACCGGAUAGGAGCUCCUGCUGCAUGGUGGGGGUUGGAGAGUUUCGGCGGUUGGGGAUGGACUCGCGGCUUAUCAGCUUGUUGGUGGGGUAGUGGCUUACCAAGGCUUUGACGGGUAGCCGGCCUGAGAGGGUGACCGGCCACAUUGGGACUGAGAUACGGCCCAGACUCCUACGGGAGGCAGCAGUGGGGAAUAUUGCACAAUGGGCGGAAGCCUGAUGCAGCAACGCCGCGUGCGGGAUGACGGCCUUCGGGUUGUAAACCGCUUUCGCCUGUGACGAAGCGUGAGUGACGGUAAUGGGUAAAGAAGCACCGGCUAACUACGUGCCAGCAGCCGCGGUAAUAC